UCCAUUUUCUGAAGACGGUUCAACCAGGGA
rnacentral:piRNA from 1 species